rnacentral:siRNA from 1 species
AGUAAUAAAUGGAUCAGAGACCCA